AAAAAAUUAACCAGUUAUAUCAAAAUUUAACCUAUAUUUAAUUGAACUCUUUCAUGAACAAAUUUUUUACUCUAACAAAUGAACUAUUGCCUAAUGUGGUAAGAAAUAUUGAAUUAGUUGUAUGGGUAUUUUAUUUUUGUUGUUUUGGGAAUUUGCGAGGAACACCAUUUCACAAUAUUGAACUUUUACUAAAUUUUACUAUAACAAAAAAAAACCUUUUGGGUACCUCCAACAUUUUGGAGAAAAUCAGCGAAAUUAGCGCGAUAACACCUAUUUUUAAGGUUUACUCGAGAAACCUCUCGAAUAUAAUCAAUCAUUGUUUAAAUGAUGCAUAUAAACUGUUACUUCCGAAUCAGAUCAGAAAAUUCCAAAAUUUAACUUAUUAUAGUCGACCGUUUUGCAUUUCACUCAAAACAAUCUUAAUUCAAUGACGAUGUUCAAAAUAACAUCAACUUAACUUACUGAUGGUGUUCCCAACAUUGAGCCUCUACUGUACCAGUCGGAAUGAAACGGAGUGAAACGAUAAGUUUUUACAAUUUGAAUGUAAAUAAACCGGUGAAGAAAAAUAUUCAGAAAAAGCUGCUGUAUUGAUGGAGAUACGAAUUUUAUCACCUAUUGCUGAUAAAUGCACGCCAACAUAUACUACAGGGGUUGUUCGCGGUCAGAAAGAGGAGCUGGAAGGAGAAUUGCUCGUAGUGAAUGGAAUGUGUUUUUGGAGACAAUCCCUUCCGCUGCACUCUGGGGGCCAAACGAUUUUCUGCAAAUGGC